GGUGCGAUGGCCGAGCGGUCCAAGGCGUGUGACUCAAGCGAAAGCUUGCCUGUUCAACUUACGGGUCUUCUCAUCUGGGUAUCCAGGCGUGGGUUCAAAUCCCACUCGCACCA